CACACUUCUCACAUUUCACAAAAAAGAACGAAAGUGGAGACACUACAAUCCACUUAGAUCGUUGGGACAUAGAAAAGAAGAAAGGUGCAUUGACAUUGCUCGAAACUUUGUUAAUAUUGUUGAAGGGUGGCUAGAAUAUAUAAGACCUCAAGCACGAGUGUUCAUAGAAACUAAAAAAA